ACACGUACACAACCUCCCUUUAAGUGGGGAAUAGCCCAGAGAAAUUUGGAUUAAUACCCCGUAACACAACGAAGUGGCAUCACUUUGUUGUUAUAGUUUCGGCGCUUAAUGAUGGGUGUGCGUAUGAUUAGAUAGUUGGCGAGGUAACGGCUCACCAAGUCUACGAUCAUUAGCUGAUGUGAGAGCAUGAUCAGCCACACGGGCACUGAGACACGGGCCCGACUCCUACGGGAGGCAGCAGUAAGGAAUAUUGGUCAAUGGACGCAAGUCUGAACCAGCCAUGCCGCGUGAAGGAUUAAGGUCCUCUGGAUUGUAAACUUCUUUUAUAUGGGACGAAAAAAGGUCUUUCUAGACCCCUUGACGGUACCAUAUGAAUAAGCACCGGCUAACUCCGUGCCAGCAGCCGCGGUAAUACGGAGGGUGCAAGCGUUAUCCGGAUUCACUGGGUUUAAAGGGUGCGUAGGCGGGUAGGUAAGUCAGUGGUGAAAUCCUGGAGCUCAACUCCAGAACUGCCAUUGAUACUAUCUAUCUUGAAUAUUGUGGAGGUAAGCGGAAUAUGUCAUGUAGCGGUGAAAUGCUUAGAUAUGACAUAGAACACCCAUUGCGAAGGCAGCUUACUACGCAUAUAUUGACGCUGAGGCACGAAAGCGUGGGGAUCAAACAGGAUUAGAUACCCUGGUAGUCCACGCCCUAAACUAUGGAUACUCGACAUAUGCGAUACACUGUAUGUGUCUGAGCGAAAGCAUUAAGUAUCCCACCUGGGAAGUACGUUCGCAAGAAUGAAACUCAAAGGAAUUGGCGGGGGUCCGCACAAGCGGUGGAGUAUGUGGUUUAAUUCGAUGAUACGCGAGGAACCUUACCUGGGCUAGAAUGCUGGGAG
rnacentral:rRNA from 1 species